UUUAUAUACUGUAGAACAUAUGAAGUGUCAUUAAAUUUCUGUUCUGAUAUCUGACUUGUGACUUGAAAUUUUCCACUGCAGACUUAGAUAUUCUUACAUGUUAGAAAAUUUACAAUUUUCAGGCAUAAUGUAACAAUUUGUAAGGUAGUUUUUCUUGACAAGAAUUUGGUGAAUAAUGCAGUUAUGGGAAUGAUAACUUAAGUGGGUCAAUGUCAUUUCUUUGGUACAUAAAAAUUGUUUUGUUUUCUUCUGCCCAUGGAUCAUGUCAACUGGGUACAUUAUUUCUUACAAAGUGGUGCUUUUUGUAAAGAAAGGGAAUUUUAGUUUACUUGAUUGCCUGCCAUUACUGAUUUUCUUUUUUAUUGUUAUUACAGUUUGAGAACCUUAAACAUUAAGUAUCUUACUUUAUUAGAAGAGUAUCAUCUUAGCUGUACACAGGCUUUGACAGAUGAAGAGAGGAAAAGAGGAAUAAAGAAAGUAGUGACAGAAAAAACAAAGGUUAUUCAUAUAAAAUUUAUGCCUGAAAGUGCAUGGUGAAAAUGUGAUUCUUUUCUGUUAUUAAGACCUGACAGUUUAAUGCUCCUUGCACCAUUUGUCCCAGAAGAUGCAUGCAGAUUUUAAGAACUGUAAGGAAUCUACUGGCCAAAUAUGAAGCAAGAGAUGAUUUUCUUGGCUCAUUCAUGUCAGACAGGUCAUGGAUGCAUCACUUCCAGCCUCAAACCAAGGAAGUUAGAAGAAAACAGUGUCAUCCUUGAUCACUGUAGCCCAAAAGAUUUUCAGUAGCAUAGUAGGGAAGAUAGGUGCAUGCUUCCUGGAGAAUGACAAAUAGCCCCCUUCAGAGCCAACAAGAAGAGCCACAGAAGACUUAUCUGAACUGUUACUUUCUCCAAGUGCCUAAAUGAGACAUAAUAUAACCAAGUUACACUUUCAUUCUGAAGUCUCUUGAAAGAAACUGUUUACAGUGCACUCUAUACUGGAGUAUUGUUGGACAUUUGCAGAUAUCGAGGACUUAAGGUAUGGGGAUUAUGUGAGUAAAUGUUAGAUUUAGAAGCCAAAUAAAAGAUACGCCACUAGGAACCACACUGCUAAUUUUAGAAUUCUGAGUCAAGUCAUGAAAAAUAUAUUCUCAGCUUAUCUUCGUAAAGGCUGUAAGUUAUAAAUUAACACACAUGCACAGUUAGUGUCUUUUUAUUGGGCCAUACUUACAUCUGUUUGUUCUGGUAGCUGUCUACUAAUGUACGGAUAAUACACAAUUGUUAAAUUCCAUA